AACCUCUCAAUCUGCCCCUCUCUUGCUUGAUUGCUCGAGAGGCCUGGCUUCAGAUUGGAUCAUGGCUGGAUGAUGCCGUUGCCUGUAAGGGCGACAGCUCGGCCGAAAUGCAGACAAGUGACGACCGCUCGUGUCGAUCGGCUUGAACUCGACGUUGUAAUUUCUCCCUCGUUGAGCUACAAUCUUCACGUCUUUGACGGUACACUUUGAAACACACUCAUUUUGAGCAA
rnacentral:misc_RNA from 1 species